ACUACCUACCCCUGGACAGAUUGUCAGUGUGUACCUGUUUGCUUGGAGGGUAGCCUUGUUUGAGACUAGAAUAAUGCAUGGCUUCCGGCACUGAAUGAGAGUCUGGUGCUGUUGUCCCAUGCUUUCUUAGUAGAGUGUUGUCUUUAUCCCCGUCACAUCUCUGGGAAGGACUGUGGCUGUACAGUUCUGGUGCUGCUGUUUAGUGCCGUUUCUGUUGUUAAAGACUGUCAGGGUGCAGAGUGAAGAACCUUUGUCUGACUUUUGUUUCUUAACGGUUCCUUAAAACACGCUAAUGUAAGUUUUCUGGGUUGGUGGUUUGUACUACCAGCAUUGAACAUUUCUAGCAAAAGUUUAAAGCCAAUAAUUUAGUAUUUAUAAUAUUUUAAGUGUAUAACUGAAUUGUAAUAUACUUAUCUUAGAAAUCCCAGGUAAAUAAUUUUGUGUGAAUUAAUCUGAGUAGACAUUGUGAAUUCUUUUUUUUCUCCCAAAUACUUUAUAUAUGCCAUGGUAUGCACGUAGAGGUGAAGGGAAAAUGUCAGUACUCAGUGUUGUUAUUCCUCUGUGGCUUCCAUGGGUCAAAUUUGGGUCUUCAGGCUUCGGGGGCAGGUGUGAGUGCCUUUUCCCAGUGAUCCAAGCCCCUGGCCUGACAUAAAUUCUACCUCAGACCUUGGUCAGUUUGUGUAUGGAACUUCUCAACUUUCUCCUUUACCUCCUUGCAGACUAGGGAUAACAAUAGUCCUUGCCUCGUGGAAUUGUGAAGCCCUAAUGAGAAAUUCACAAACUGCAGAGCACAGUGCCCAGCAUCAGUGCCCAGGAAAUGGUGGACAGCACCAGCUUUCCUCAGACAUACUCAACCUGACUUCAUCCCGUCUCCUAAACCUUCUUUCCUCUCCCAACAUCUAAGGAAGCUUUCGGGAUUAUCGAAGAUGUCCAUAUACACGAGGCUGAAGUUAUUAUUUUUGAUCUAGUUCUAAUGUCUGUAGUUACAGAAUUUGCCUAUUCUGGCAUUUGUAUGGCUUAAAUGUGAGCUAUUCUCUGUAGCUUAUGCAUUGGGUCCCCAGACGCUGUUGCUGCUUGUGAAGUUGUAGGACCUGUGGGAGCAGAGGGUGUUGAUUCAUUCUGGCCCUCCUCCCCGCCCUCUCUCCUGCCACCCAGAUCCACAUAGAUGGGAACAUGCUUGUGGGGAGUGGAGGAAGCCCUGAGUGAAUCUGUAUUGUUGACAUGAACACAGACAUGUCAAGGAUCCCAAUGCCUCAGACUCAAGGAAAAGCAAAGCCGUCUUCUUCAGGUGAGCUCAGAGGAACGGCAGAGCCUUUUUACAGAUGUAUUUACAGAUGCUUGGCUAGUGUGUGCAGGAAAACAAAAAACAAAAGGCUAGCACACAGCUUCCUCCUCCCCUAGAGACUACCCGAGUUUCCAGAUUACGUAGUGGGGCCGCCAUCAGAGAGCACAGCCCACCUGGGUUGCCCAGCUAGUCUGUGUUUGUCUUCUUCAUCCCCAAAGUGCCACAGUCAUGUUCCCAGGACCAAAGUCAUGACAUGGCACAUGCUCGCUCAGUCAUAUCUGGUGUGACUUCUCCACGAUGGACUUCUAAGCCAUAAGCCAAAAUAAAUCUUUCCUUCCUUAGUUAAGCCAGGUCUUUUAACACCAAAAUAAAUCUUUCCUUCCUUAGUUAAGCCAGGUCUUUUAACACAGCAAUGAGUAAGCCAUAGUUAACUACCUUUUGCUUUUGACCCAUUUAAUGAGCUUUCUCAUCAGGAGCCAAGUAACUUCACAAAAAUUGUGUAUUACAAAUAGACUUCAGUCUUUCAAGUGAGACAAAUCCUCAUUUUAAAUGCUGUUUACUGGGACUUAGGGAUGCAGCUCAGUAGUCGAGCUCUCAUGGAAGGUCCUGGGGUUUGAACUCCAGUACUGUUUGGAGACAGGGUCUCAUUAUGUAGCCUUGCAUGGUACUGAUUAUGUAGACUAGGCUGGCCUCAAAUUCCUAGAGCUCCUUGUGUACUGGGAGAGACUAAAGUUGUGCACCACCACACUUUGCUUCCCUGUUUGUAUCCAGCUUUGGGUUGUAUCUCAGUUAUUUAUCCCACUUGGACGUGCUGGAACAUAAUAUGGAGGAUAUAAGCAGUAAAAAGGAUCCUUAGCAUUGGGCAGUGAUUAACAUUUAUCAGUUUUUAUAAUAAUGAACUAUUCAGUGUUACAAGAAGUCAGAGUAUGGCCGCCUUUCUUACAACUUGCACUUCAGAUAAAUGAUGCUCCCAAUGUAGUCUGGACAGCACACUUGGAGAAAGGCCAGGUCUCUCGGCACACAAGUCUACACUGUCUACAGCUUCAGCUUUGAGAGGUACUUGUCCCAGAUUUGCAGUCUGUAGGGAAAGACUUGUCUCCUCUCUGCUACUUCUAAGACCACACUGUAAAGAAAACAUUGAGGAAGCACGCUAACCCUGUUCUCCACAGCUAGAGCCUGGCUAUCCAGAAUCCUAAGUAGGGUUCACUCACGGUCCCGGUAAGUGGUACUUUGUUAGGCUUUCGUGCACAGUCUCCAGAGACCUGGUGACUCUUACAGGCUCAGAGCUGCCAUGCUUGCCAACCUUACUCAAGUUGUUCUCUUUUCUGCCAGGGCAUUUGGUUUAUCCACUCUAAAAACACGCCAGUGUGUCCUUUUACUGCCAUUAAUCGAAGUUGGGGAUUACCGAAAGCUUUUCAUGUUCUGCUUUCAUGUACUUCCUUUUCUGUCUAGGCAGCAUAAUUCGCUGUAUGAGGCGCCUGGAAGAACUGCUUCGACAGAUGUGUCAAGCAGCAAAAGCCAUUGGAAACACAGAGCUGGAGAACAAAUUUGCUGAAGGAAUCACCAAAAUCAAGAGGGAUAUUGUAUUCGCUGCCAGCCUCUACUUAUAGAGUUCAACAUUAAUCACCAUCUGUCUGAUUACAGUUGACUGUAACUGCUUACAAGUGUCCAAGUGAUUCUUCCAUCAAGAGUUGUUUGAAGCAUUUUAUUAUAUUUAAAUCAGAUAUCAUUCUAAGAAGGCAUGUAACAUACACAUUUGUACAUAGCAUCUUUCAAUUAAAAAAUGUACAAGUGGG